rnacentral:misc_RNA from 1 species
UCCCAGUUAACCCGGGCAGUCUGACCAAAGUGCCCACCUUAACGUGAUGGCAACUAGUCAUAAGGGUUGCGCUCGUUGCGGGACUUAACCCAACACCUCACAGCACGAGCUGACGACAGCCAUGCAGCACCUGUGCAGAGACCCUUUCGGGAGAUGUCAUCUCUGACACUGUCCUCUGCAUUUCUAACCUGGGUAAGGUUCUUCGCGUUGCAUCGAAUUAAACCACAUGCUCCACUGCUUGUGCGAGCCCCCGUCAAUUCUUUUGAGUUUCACCCUUGCGAGCGUACUCCCCAGGCGGUGCACUUAACGCGUUAGCUACGACACAAUGGGGGUUGAUUCCCACUCCGUCUAGUGCACAUCGUUUAUGGCAAGGACUAC